UUCUGCCUUAUGCCCCUCAGUCGAAUUCUUUCUUCUGAGAAGGCAAGAAUUGAGGUUGCUGUAGACCUAUACCGAUUUGCCGCCGGUAACAUACGUUGGUGCUGCGUGACUUGGAUAACUUCCAACACUGACACUGGGAGAUACGGGUGCUAUGUCUUUCUCUGAGAUCCUGUGUAAGGAACAUGGCUGUGCUUUGGUCAAGGAUAGGCCAAGGCGGACAUGGGGGAGCCAGGACACAGCUCGGCCUGCUAGUGCCCACAGACAGGAAGAGUUAAACUGCUGACUCUGAAGGCAGGGAAGAGCCAGCCAUGCAGCUGUAUGUGGGAGCCGCCAGAAUAAGCAGCCGAGACAGGGCGGACAGUGUGAGAAAGCCGUUGAUUGGAGCUGCUGAUGAAUAAAAUCAUCUUUCACCUGCCUACGGCCCCCCGAGU
rnacentral:lncRNA from 1 species